AAAACUAUUAAAAUUAAACUAAAAAUAAAUUAAUAUUAUUUAUGUAUAUCUUUUUUCCUCAUGGUACUUUAAAUUAAUAGGUACUUAUUUAUAUGUAUUAUUGCGCUACAAUAACAAACGAGAUAUAGUUGUUGACACAAUUCAGUAGAUAAAAAUUAUCAGCGCCCAUUUAGGUACAAAUAACUCACACUAUAUACGCAUGUGUGGACAGUUUGCGGUUCACAACGAAAUUUUAUGUUAAAUAUAUUAAAAAGGGAUUGUGUUAAAUGAUAAUACUUUUAUAUUUACACACAAGUUAUAAAUUAUGCUAACUGUAUGUUACGUGAGGCCACAGAGGUUAAAGACAAUAGAGUAACUUGUGUUUCGUAUCAUUCGUUUCGAGUCAUUGAAUAUGUCUAGUUGGUGUUGUGUCAGGAUAACAUUUACCUACACAUUACCUUGUAAAGGCUGUACUGUCUGAUCGGGCAAUAACUGAUAUUGUUUGAGUAGUUGCCAAUGGGCCAUGAGUGACUUUGCUGUACGAGAAGGAUAGAACACAUGUGGGUUUUGUUCAAGCAACUCCUGGAACUUCUCAGGCUCUGGAUGUGAAGUCUGUAAAAUAAAUAAAUAAAAUCCUUUUACUUUAGGCAUACCCCAUAGUUUACAUUACAUUUAAUUCAUUAGUACAAUUUAAAAUUAAAAUAUUGAUAUUCAUGA